CGCUAGCUACAGGCUUAACACAUGCAAGUCGAGGGGCAGCAUGGUCUUAGCUUGCUAAGGCCGAUGGCGACCGGCGCACGGGUGAGUAACACGUAUCCAACCUGCCGUCUACUCUUGGACAGCCUUCUGAAAGGAAGAUUAAUACAAGAUGGCAUCAUGAGUCCGCAUGUUCACAUGAUUAAAGGUAUUCCGGUAGACGAUGGGGAUGCGUUCCAUUAGAUAGUAGGCGGGGUAACGGCCCACCUAGUCUUCGAUGGAUAGGGGUUCUGAGAGGAAGGUCCCCCACAUUGGAACUGAGACACGGUCCAAACUCCUACGGGAGGCAGCAGUGAGGAAUAUUGGUCAAUGGACGCGAGUCUGAACCAGCCAAGUAGCGUGAAGGAUGACUGCCCUAUGGGUUGUAAACUUCUUUUAUAUGGGAAUAAAGUUGUCCACGUGUGGAUUUUUGUAUGUACCAUAUGAAUAAGGAUCGGCUAACUCCGUGCCAGCAGCCGCGGUAAUACGGAGGAUCCGAGCGUUAUCCGGAUUUAUUGGGUUUAAAGGGAGCGUAGGCGGAUUGUUAAGUCAGUUGUGAAAGUUUGCGGCUCAACCGUAAAAUUGCAGUUGAUACUGGCAGUCUUGAGUGCAGUAGAGGUGGGCGGAAUUCGUGGUGUAGCGGUGAAAUGCUUAGAUAUCACGAAGAACUCCGAUUGCGAAGGCAGCUCACUGGAGUGUAACUGACGCUGAUGCUCGAAAGUGUGGGUAUCAAACAGGAUUAGAUACCCUGGUAGUCCACACAGUAAACGAUGAAUACUCGCUGCUUGCGAUAUACAGUAAGCGGCCAAGCGAAAGCAUUAAGUAUUCCACCUGGGGAGUACGCCGGCAACGGUGAAACUCA
rnacentral:rRNA from 1 species